CAAUAGCGUAUACUAAAGUUGUUGCAGUUAAAAAGCUCGUAGUUGAAUUUCUGGUCUCGGACAUCGGUCUGCCUCAAACGAGGUAUGUACCAGUUGUUUGAAUCCAUCCUCGGGGAAAACGUAUCUGUCAUUUAAUUGAUGGACGCGGGGUCCCCGUCAUUUACUGUGAGCAAAAUAGAGUGUUCAAAGCAGGCUUAUGCCGUUGAAUACAUUAGCAUGGAAUAAUAAGAUAGGACCUUGGUCUAUUUUGUUGGUUUGACUCCAAGGUAAUGAUUAAUAGGGAUAGUUGGGGGUAUUCGUAUUCAAUUGUCAGAGGUGAAAUUCUUGGAUUUAUGGAAGACGAACUACUGCGAAAGCAUUUACCAAGGAUGUUUUCAUUAAUCAAGAACGAAAGUUAGGGGAU
rnacentral:rRNA from 1 species